ensembl:misc_RNA
GGAUAGUAACACUGAAAGGUGAUAAGAUUCCGUGCCCCAGAAUUCUAUCACAGUUGAAAAGGCACAGCUCAGCCCUUUGAAUUGAGUCAUUCUGGAGACACUAGCGUUUGGGUUUUUCAUUUUUUAGGACCGCUGCUUGUCACAAUAUCAUCUUCCUUGCUCUAGGCAAA